rnacentral:lncRNA from 1 species
AGUGGGGCGAGGUCCCGCAGGAGGUUAAGGACAUGGUCCACAACGCGAUGUCGGUCAGUUUAUAAAAUGCCUGAAUAAUAUUAUGUAUUACAUUGUACAUUUCUGGAAAAACUAAACUAAUAAACGGUUAAAUGCAGGCGUGGUUUGAGGUUCUCGAGCCCUUGAAGAGCAGCUGGGCGGACUUUGUGCAUGGAGGAAGGUACGUUGGGAAAUUAAUGAAUAAACAAAACUGUAUGUCAUAUUAAUAAUAUUUCUAAUAUUUUUGUUGUAUCUGUAGGUACAAGGAGUGGAAGAACGAGUUGCGGACCCAUUGGACUACGCACGGGAACGCACGUUCUGCUACCCCUGCUGAGUUCCAGUACAGAGAGUACGAGUGGCGUUGGCUUCUGACAUCAGAAUUCAACAACCCUCGUAAAUAGGUAUUUAAAUAAAUUAAUUAGUUAAUUUAUCAUUAAGUACGUGCGUUUUAAAAUAUUUUACUAAUAGUUUACUUUUUUCUUUGAAGGCGGUUUCCCGGGUGAACGCUCAGAACCGGCAACGCAACACAAGGAACCAUCAUGCCGGUUCUAGAUCGUUCGCUGUCUUCAUGGACGAGGCGGCCAGGGAACAUCCAGAGGUCAACCAGUACGUCUAUACGUACGAGAGGGCAUAUCCUGACUCUCAGGAGGAUAUAGUAAGUACUAUUUCCUUUUUACGGAAUUUUUAAUUUUACUUAUAUAUAUGUCAAAAUGUUAAUUAAUAAUUUUUUUCCUAUCCAAUUAGGCAAAGGUGAGGGAGCCAGUGACGAGGUGAUGAGUGCUAUAGUGAGGGAGACAUGGCCGGACACGCAGGAGGAAGAGAUGUCCGAAGCCAUUUCCCGGAUCGACACUUCAGAUCCGAGGGUUGGGGCGAGGAUCAUGGGCACAGCCUUCCCACCGCGAGAAAACAACUUUUACUGCCGGGGUCUAGGAAAGAAGGGCCAGGGGGUCCUGAAGACCACUCCAGGAUUUCAACGAAAGGCGGGCUCGACCAACAGCAGGACGGCUCAGCUA